CGUCGACCGGCGCACGGGUGCGUAACGCGUAUCGAACCUGCCCUUUACUCAGGGAUAGCCUUGCGAAAGUAAGAUUAAUACCUGAUGGUGUUGUGGAGAGACAUCUUUUUGCAACUAAAGAUUUAUUGGUAGAGGAUGGCGAUGCGUCUGAUUAGGUAGUAGGUGUGGUAACGGCUCACCUAGCCGACGAUCAGUAGGGGUUCUGAGAGGAAGGUCCCCCACAUUGGAACUGAGACACGGUCCAAACUCC
rnacentral:rRNA from 1 species